AGUGGCGGACGGGUGAGUAACGCGUGGGUAACCUACCCUGUACAGGGGGAUAACAGUCAGAAAUGACUGCUAAUACCGCAUAAGACCACAGCACCGCAUGGUGCAGGGGUAAAAACUACCGGUGGUACAGGAUGGACCCGCGUCUGAUUAGCUGGUUGGUGAGGUAACGGCCCACCAAGGCGACGAUCAGUAGCCGACCUGAGAGGGUGACCGGCCACAUUGGGACUGAGACACGGCCCAAACUCCUACGGGAGGCAGCAUG
rnacentral:rRNA from 1 species